AACGAACGCUGGCGGCGUGCUUAACACAUGCAAGUCGAACGAAGCACCUUAUUCUGAUUUCUUCGGAAUGAAAAAUUUGGUGACUGAGUGGCGGACGGGUGAGUAACGCGUGGGUAACCUGCCUCAUACAGAGGGAUAACAGUUAGAAAUGACUGCUAAUACCGCAUAAGACCACAGCACCGCAUGGUGCAGGGGUAAAAACUCCGGUGGUAUGAGAUGGACCCGCGUCUGAUUAGGUAGUUGGUGGGGUAACGGCCUACCAAGCCGACGAUCAGUAGCCGACCUGAGAGGGUGACCGGCCACAUUGGGACUGAGACACGGCCCAAACUCCUACGGGAGGCAGCAGUGGGGAAUAUUGCACAAUGGGGGAAACCUUGAUGCAGCGACGCCGCGUGAGCGAUGAAGUAUUUCGGUAUGUAAAGCUCUAUCAGCAGGGAAGAAAAUGACGGUACCUGACUAAGAAGCACCGGCUAAAUACGUGCCAGCCGCCGCAGUAA
rnacentral:rRNA from 1 species